AGGCUGGUUGUGAUACCAGGAGUGAUGCUCACUGAGGCAAUGUGCCUUAUUGGAGCCUUCCCAGUUAUGCUGUGUUCCCCAGUUACAUGGUGUAACAAUGUGUGAUAAAUAAUUGCAUGUUAUCCUCGAUGUCAGUUGCAACAAUUAUAAUAUACAUGGGGACCGCGAAAACAGCAUCACCUCACAGUUCAUUCUGAAGUUGUGUAUAUCUAUUUGUAUUUAUUAAGAAAAUUGCAAUCUAUGCAGUUUCCCAAUACCGUUACAUCAAAAUCAUUUUGAUACUUAACAAAAACAAAAGGCAGAAACAAUAUGCUCAAAAUGCAUAAUACCAAGGAUUUAUUUAUUCUUGUUUCUGUCACUGAGUUACUGUGCUAGAUGGAUUGAUUUGUAACAGCACAGAAAUGUGUACGUUUGCACAAGAAUGCACCCUGAGGUCCUCUGAGGAUCUUCUUCAGGGUGUUAGGGGCAAACGUGUAGUUUUGUGCAGAUUUGACAGCCAAUGGGUGCAGCUAAUGUUGCUCAAAACACUGAUAUUCUCUUUCGGCAAUUCAUGUUUAAGAUAAAUAAGGUAGAAUGUGUCUUGGAGAGCCUUCAUAUUUCAGUGCUUUUAAUUUGGUGAUUUAGAAGUAAACUCUGAUUCUAGCUGUACAUUUCUUAACCCGAUGAUGAAACAUAACUGGAAAGCAUUUCAUUACAUGAAAUGGGUGUAAGAGAAGAACCUUAAUUUAUGACAUUUGUCUUAAGCUGGAAAUCAAUUCCAUGGUAUUCUGAAAUAACUUUUACUUGCCUAUCCAAUGCACUGCCAGUAAGGUGUUAGCAAAUAUCCUUAUUUACAAUUAUUUGUCCUUUUUUAUGCUGGUAUGAUAGAGUAAAAAACUAAUUUUAUUUCCUUUGAAAAAUUCUUGGCACUGUUUUCAUUUUCAAGAAGCUUAUGCUUUCACAGGAAGGAGGAGUAGAAUCAUCUUUUUCAAUGAGUUCAAUAACCACAGCAAGACCAGAAGCUUUUCUACAGGUUAUUUUGCUGGAACUUAGGCAUCUGUUCUUGUGGUGCUUAUAACAGUCAUAUGGGUGAGCUAAAUGCCCUGCACAUUCUAAAGGCUCUCAGUCCUCAAAAAAUAUUUGGGGCCUUUUUUUUUUGUCUUGUUUAACAAGUCAAAGCAGGAAUAAUUAUUAUGGAAGUUCCUCAGUUCCCUUGCAUGGGAAACUACUAUUAUUCAUAUUUGACAAAAAUGAUAUGAAAUAAGUAUCAAACUAUCAACUUGUUUCUAACACAACUCCUAGCUAUGUCACCAUCCCCUGAAGUUGAAUUUCUUUCUGCCUUUUGUCUGUUUUAAACUGGCGGCUACAAAACCCUCCUCCUCCCACAACUGUUCUGACCCUAAAACCAGCUUGCAUGGGAGGAUCCGUGGAGUGUUAGAUCUUUGUUUUCCCUCUGGAGAUAGCAGGAGUUCAAAGUUCACAAACUCCAGAGAACAAAGAGAAAAUUCAUCUUUGCUUUUAAAACCUUAAAAGCAGUCCUGCCCUUCUUCAGCUCAGGAAAGGGGCUCUCCAUGGUGUGCAGCAUGCACCAGGUUGCUGUUUUCUACAAGUACAAACAUCUGUACACAUUCUCUUGAUAAGCAUUGAACAGCAAAUAAAUUAUCUCCUAAAACAACUUAACUUUCCUGGGGAGGGAGGGUUUCUGGGUAGGGAGGGUGUUAGCUUUCAGCGAUGAUAAUUGUCAGCACAAGUAUUCUAGCUAGUUGUGGUCUCAGCUAGUGGCCUCUGAGAAAGGGGCUUGGUGACUCACGGGAACCCUGCCUUGUCCCCAGCUCUGCUGCCACUCCUUCUUCGAGCUGAGUAAUGCUGUACAGCCGUGCAGGGCAGCCCCUGGAUUUGCUGGGGUGGAGGACAAGGGUAUGUCUUACAAAAGCUAAGAAUCAGGACUGAGCAAAAAGAAUUGAAACCUGCAGUACAAAUUCAGACAGUGUUCCCAAGACAGUAAUCUAACAAGAUCCCCUGCUUAUGCUCUAUUCACUUCCAUAUGACAGUAUGGAUUUCAUGCUGCCAAGACCUCAAUGAGCCUGGGGAAGACUGUAGGAUCCUGCUCUCUAAAAUCCAAAUGAAGGAGGAGAGAGUCACCAUUGAUGAAGAGAUAACUGAAUUGCAGAUAAGAAAUUCCUGCUGGCAUAAAUCCAUUGCCAGCACUUGCUUCAGUAUGGAGGCCGGCAAAAAGCCUUUCUCAAGGAGAGUUGCUCACCAGCUCCUUACCUUCAGGCCAAUUGAUGAGGUUACUUGUUGGGAGUGUUAAAGGACUCUGAAAAAUGAGGUGGCAGCUAAUGAUCUUCCUAUAUUUUCUUUUCAUAGAGCAUUUAAGUAAGGCAAACCACAACUCCAGAACAAUAACACUUUUCCUGUGGAGCACAAAAUAUUUCCUUCUGCUCAUCACCUGAUCAGGCCAGCAGACACUUCAGUUACCUGGAAGAUCUGUCAUUCCUAAGUCCAUACAGACCUCCAUUCUGAAAAAGCAAGCCAGCCUAGGACUUUUCUAAACUAUCUGUUUUCUGGGAAACAAGCAGGAACAUAGAUUUAAAUUAUUUUAUCAAUGCUAUAUUCAGAUCUAUAUGGAAAUUCAAAGAAGAGAGCUUCUGUAAUAGCAUGUAUAUGCCCAAGAGAAGGCAAAUGAGAAAUAUCAUUAGCUUUAUCAAAGCAGUGUAUGAGGAAGACAGCUCCAUUAGCGUUAUUUUAAUAUGAGGAACCUGAGGCAUGGAAAGAUGAAGUGACUUAUCUGAAACACCUCAGAAAAACAGGUACACAAAUCUAUCUCACCUGUUGCAUUUUAGGAUAUAUGACAAAUGGCAUAUGGCAGUGUACUUACCUCUGAUACAUCUUAAUUUAAAUUUAUGGAGCUGGAGAUUUUGGGAAUUGCUUGAAACCUAAGACACAGACAGACUUUGCAAUCCUUAUGAUAUAUGGGUCUAUAUUGUGUUAUAUACUUUAUAUGUGAUUUGGGAAUCUGAUUUGAAUAUCAUCAGGAUCACUUUUGUUGGUGAUAAAAUUUUUUGGGCUAUGGACUUCUGUUAAGAUUACUUAAAAUUGCUAAGUAUACACUUAAGUCCAAAAGAAGUUCUCUCUGACAAAAACAGUUGCUAGGAUGGGUAAGUAUCUCUUGUUAUCAGCCUGAUUAACAACAUCUUGCGUUAUAUUAUCAGUCCUUCUCUGUGGAUAUGAAAUUGGAUGUUAAAACUGAAUUAGACAGGACUGUGUAAGAGGCAAUUUUUCAACUUCCUCAGAAUAGAUGAUUUUGCAGCCUAUUCACUUCAGCUUACUGUUGAUGUUCACAACUGUUAUAAUAGUAGUAGUGGUGAUAACACGGUCAUUUCUGAGUUGCUGAAGAUAUGGGGUCAAACCUAUGAGCACAAUCAGAAAGACAGCCUUACAACAAAAGCAGAAAAAUUAAACAUGAUCCAAGGAGUAGGAGGUGAGAAAGAAAAAUGAAGUAUGUGGAAAUUAGACUGGUUAGAGCAAUGCAGUCAUGAAAUCUCACUCUGAGACGAUGCCUAUCUUCUCUAU